AAUACACAUUAAGAGUGGUCUGGGUGCACACAGCAAAGGAACUUCGUCGCCUUUGAGGGGCUGUGCAGUACCCCCCAGAGUGAAUCAGGAGGUUCCACAGCC